rnacentral:tRNA from 1 species
GCCUGGGUGGCUCAGUCAGUUAAGCGUCUGACUUCAGCUCAGGUCAUGAGCUCACGGUUCGUGAGUUCGAGCCCCGCGUCAGGCU